CCUACGGGAGGCAGCAGUGGGGAAUCUUGCGCAAUGGGCGAAAGCCUGACGCAGCCAUGCCGCGUGAAUGAUGAAGGUCUUAGGAUUGUAAAAUUCUUUCACCGAGGACGAUAAUGACGGUACUCGGAGAAGAAGCCCCGGCUAACUUCGUGCCAGCAGCCGCGGUAAUACGAAGGGGGCUAGCGUUGCUCGGAAUUACUGGGCGUAAAGGGAGCGUAGGCGGAUAGUUUAGUCAGAGGUGAAAGCCCAGGGCUCAACCUUGGAAUUGCCUUUGAUACUGGCUAUCUUGAGUACGGAAGAGGUAUGUGGAACUCCGAGUGUAGAGGUGAAAUUCGUAGAUAUUCGGAAGAACACCAGUGGCGAAGGCGACAUACUGGUCCGUUACUGACGCUGAGGCUCGAAAGCGUGGGGAGCAAACAGGAUUAGAUACCCUGGUAGUCCACGCUGUAAACGAUGAGUGCUAGUUGUCGGCAUGCAUNCAUGUCGGUGACGCAGCUAACGCAUAAGACACUCCGCCGUCGGGGUAGGUACGGUCGGCGAGAAUUAAAACGUUAAAAGUAAGUAGUAGACGUGAGAGACGCGACGACGACGACGACGGAGGGAGGAGG
rnacentral:rRNA from 1 species